rnacentral:rRNA from 1 species
CAGGUGCUGCAUGGCUGUCGUCAGCUCGUGUCGUGAGAUGUUGGGUUAAGUCCCGCAACGAGCGCAACCCUCGCCCCUAGUUGCCAUCAUUCAGUUGGGAACUCUAGGGGGACUGCCGGUGAUAAGCCGCGAGGAAGGUGGGGAUGACGUCAAGUCCUCAUGGCCCUUACAGGCUGGGCUACACACGUGCUACAAUGGCGGUGACAAUGGGCAGCGAAAGAGCGAUCUGGAGCUAAUCCCAAAAAGCCGUCUCAGUUCAGAUUGCACUCUGCAACUCGAGUGCAUGAAGGUGGAAUCGCUAGUAAUCGUGGAUCAGCAUGCCACGGUGAAUACGUUCCCGGGCCUUGUACACACCGCCCGUCACACCAUGGGAGUUGGGUUUACCCGAAGGCGUCGCGCUAACCGCAAGGAGGCAGGCGACCACGGUAGGCUCAGCGACUGGGGUGAAGUCGUAACAAGGUAGCCGUAGGGGAACCUGCGGCUGGAUCACCUCCUUUCUAAGG